AGGGCACCACCAGGAGUGGAGCCUGCGGUUUAAUUUGACUCAACACGGGAAAACUCACCCGGCCCGGACACCGUAAGGAUUGACAGACUGAGAGCUCUUUCUUAAUUCGGUGGGUGGUGGUGCAUGGCCGUUCUUAGUUGGUGGAGCGAUUUGUCUGGUUAAUUCCGAUAACGAACGAGACUCUGGCCUAUUAAAUAGACGGUAUAUUUAAAAGUAUAUCGCACUUCUUAGAGGGACAAGCGGCGUCUAGCCGCAUGAAAUAGAGCAAUAACAGGUCUGUGAUGCCCUUAGAUGUCCGGGGCUGCACGCGCGCUACACUGAAAGAAUCAGUGGGCGUUAUUCCUAGUCCGGAAGGACUGGGUAACCCAAGUAAAUUCCUUCGUGCUUGGGAUAGGGAAUUGCAAUUAUUUCCCUUAAACGAGGAAUUCCCAGUAAAUGCGGGUCAUAAGCUCGCGUUGAUUACGUCCCUGCCCUUUGUACACACCGCCCGUCGCUACUACCGAUUGGAUGACUUAGUGA
rnacentral:rRNA from 1 species